rnacentral:rRNA from 1 species
CAUGUCCUUUUGAAUAUAAUUUAAGGUCUGAUCUGCUCAAUGAAUUUUAAAUAGCCGCAGUAUUUUGACUGUGCUAAGGUAGCAUAAUAAUUAGUUUCUUAAUUAGGAACUGGAAUGAAUGAUUGGACAAGAAAAUUUCUGUCUCUUUUUUAAUUAUUGAAUUUUAUUUUUAAGUGAAAAAGCUUAAAUGUUUAUAAAAGACGAGAAGACCCUAUAGAGUUUAAUAUUUUUUUUUAAUUAUAAAUUAGAAUAUUCUUUUAAAUUAAAUUAUUUGGUUGGGGUGAUUUAAAGAUAUAAUUAAUUCUUUAAAAUAAUAAUUAAAGAUUUUUAAAUUUUAAAUCUAUAGUUUAUAAAACUAAAAUAAAUUACCUUAGGGAUAACAGCGUAAUUUUUCUUUAAAGUUCUUAUUAUAAGGAAAGUUUGCGACCUCGAUGUUGGAUUAAAAUAAAUUUUUGGUGCAAUAACUAAAAAAUUAGGUCUGUUCGACCUUUAAAAUUUUACAUGAUCUGAGUUUAGACCGGUGUGAACCAGGUUGGAUUCUAUCUUUAUAUAAAAAAUAUAUUUUAGUACGAAAGGACCAAAUAUAUAUUAAAUUAAUUGU